UACAGAGGUGCCAAGCGUUAGGCGGAAUCACUGGGCUUAAAGCGUGUGUAGGCGGACCUAGCAAGUAUCUUGUGAAAUCCCACGGCUCAACCGUGGAACUGCUGGAUAUACGUGCUGGUCUUGAGCGACCCAGGGCUACCGGAACAAAUGGUGGAGCGGUGAAAUGCGUAGAUAUCAUUGGAACGCCAAUGGUGAAAACAGGUAGCUGGGGUCUGCUGACGCUGAGACACGAAGCCAGGGAGCAAACGGG
rnacentral:rRNA from 1 species